rnacentral:lncRNA from 1 species
GAAUACAUGAUCAUAGUUGAAAGCGAAGACAAUCUAGUCGGAAAGUUUUUAUGCCUGUCAGCUAAUGCUGAAGCUGAGUAUGACAUGCUGCAAGGCUCAAAGGAAUGGUAAUUAGUAUUCCUCUCCUUCUUCCUCUCCCUCUCCUUCCACAGAAUCCACACCAACCUCCUCAUAAUCCUUCUCAAGGGCAGCCAUGUCCUCACGGGCCUCAGAAAACUCUCCUUCCUCCAUGCCCUCACCCAUGUACCAGUGAACAAAGGCAUGCUUGGCAUACAUCAGGUCAAACUUGUGGUCCAGGCGAGCCCAGGCCUCAGCGAUGGCUGUGGUGUUGCUCAGCAUGCACACAGCUCGCUGUACUUUGGCCAGGUCUCCACCAGGUACCACAGUGGGAGGCUGGUAAUUAAUGCCAACCUUGAAGCCAGUGGGGCACCAGUCCACAAACUGGAUGCUGCGCUUGGUCUUGAUGGUGGCAAUGGCAGCAUUGACAUCUUUGGGAACCACGUCGCCACGGUACAACAGGCAGCAGGCCAUGUAUUUACCAUGGCGAGGGUCACAUUUCACCAUCUGGUUGGCUGGCUCAAAGCAAGCAUUGGUGAUCUCUGCUACAGAAAGCUGUUCAUGGUAGGCUUUCUCAGCAGAGAUGACAGGGGCGUAUGUGGCCAGAGGGAAGUGGAUGCGGGGAUAGGGCACCAGGUUGGUCUGGAACUCUGUCAGAUCCACAUUCAGGGUGCCAUCAAACCUCAGGGAAGCAGUGAUGGAGGACACAAUUUGACCUAUCAACCUAUUCAGGUUAGUAUAUGUCGGGCGCUCAAUAUCGAGGUUUCUACGGCAGAUGUCAUAGAUGGCCUCAUUAUCUACCAUGAAGGCACAAUCAGAGUGCUCCAGGGUGGUGUGGGUGGUGAGGAUGGAGUUGUAGGGCUCAACGACAGCUGUGGAAACCUGGGGGGCUGGGUAAAUGGAGAACUCCAGCUUGGACUUCUUGCCAUAGUCGACAGAGAGGCGUUCCAUCAGCAGGGAGGUGAACCCAGAACCAGUUCCCCCACCAAAGCUGUGGAAAACCAAGAAGCCCUGAAGACCUGUGCACUGGUCAGCCUGUUAAAAGAGGAACAGGAAAAACAUAGUUAUUGCUCUUUGUGA